UACGUAGGGCGCAAGCGUUGUCCGGAAUUAUUGGGCGUAAAGAGCUCGUAGGUGGCUUGUCGCGUCUGCCGUGAAAGCCCAUGGCUUAACUGUGGGUCUGCGGUGGAUACGGGCUGGCUAGAGGUAGGUAGGGGCAAGCGGAAUUCCCGGUGUAGUGGUGAAAUGCGUAGAUAUCGGGAGGAACACCAGUGGCGAAGGCGACUACCUGGCCUGUUCUUGACGCUGAGGCGCGAAAGCUAGGGGAGCAAACGGG
rnacentral:rRNA from 1 species